rnacentral:rRNA from 1 species
AUGGGCAAAGGAAAGGCUAAAGGAUUUCGUGAGGAUGAACACGAUACCCUAUGGUUUGAAGACUGUGUUUAUGUGCCCAAUAACCCAGAAAUCAGGAAGUUGAUUUUACAAGAAGCCCAUGAUUCACCCUAUUCGAUUCACCCAGGAAAUACCAAGAUGUAUUUGGAUUUGAAGAACACUUUCUGGUGGACCGGAAUGAAGAAGGAUAUUGCGGAGUAUGUAGCAAUUUGCGAUGUAUGUCAGAGAGUAAAGGCAGAACAUCAGAAGCCAGCAGGAUUGUUACAACCGUUGCCGAUACCCGAAUGGAAGUGGGAUAAACUAGGCAUGGAUUUCAUCACAGGUUUGCCAAAGACCCAUUCAGGAUAUGACUCGAUUUGGGUUAUAGUCGACCGUUUAACAAAGGUAGCUCAUUUCAUUCCAGUCAAGACUACCUAUAGCAGUGCUAAGUUGGCAAAGAUAUACAUGACCAGAAUUGUGUGUUUACACGGAGUUCCAAGGAGCAUCGUAUCAGAUAGAGGAACCCAGUUUACCUCGAAAUUUUGGAACCAGUUGCACGAGACAUUGGGAACUAGAUUGGAAUUCAGUACAGCUUUCCACCCACAGACCGAUGGACAGACUGAGAGAGUCAAUCAGAUUUUGGAAGAUAUGCUGAGAGCUUGUGCACUAGAUUAUGGAUCUAGCUGGGAUGAUAAUUUGCCGUAUGCAGAAUUUUCCUACAACAACAGUUACCAAACCAGCUUGAAGAUGGCACCUUUCGAGGCUCUGUAUGGAAGAAGGUGCAGGACACCGUUGUCAUGGGACGAGACUGGAGAUCGGCAGUUGUUUGGACCAGAUUUGAUUAAGGAGUCUGAACAGAAGGUUAAGUUGAUUCGAGACAGGCUCAAG